rnacentral:lncRNA from 1 species
UCAAAAGAAUGCUGGUUUUGUUUAUCGAGCCCCAAUGUGGAGUCUCAUCUGAUCAUCAGUGUAGGAGAAAGAUACUACUGUGCACUGCCCAAGGGACCAUUAGUUGAAGAUCACGUGCUGAUAAUACCUAUCGAGCAUCUACCAAAUACUCUUUCUUUGCCUCCAGAAAAUGAAACAGAGCUUAACAAAUUCCAGAACUGCCUGAAGUUGUAUCAUAAGAACCAACGGAAGGAAGUUGUUUUCUUUGAGUGGGUUUCCAAACGUGGGACUCAUGCUAAUCUUCAGGUAUUGUCAUAGUGCAAAGAAAAUUUAUAACAUGUUGCUUAUGGUAUUACUUUAUCUUCUUCAUCCAUCUUGUCAUUUUAUCUCUCUACGUGCCAGCCAGUCACUUUCUUAUUCUCAAUAGUUUGAUUGCAUUGCCUGCAGGCUGUUCCUGUUCCAUCAUCUAGAGCAGCUGCUCUUCAGAGCAUAUUUAGUUUAGCUGCGGAGAAGUUGGGAUUUAAAUUUAACUCCUUGAGUAAGUUAAAUUUGUCAUUUCUCCUUUUUUUUGGAGUUCCAUAAUAGGACAAAAAAUUCAGUGACUAUGGUCCUUAAUCCUUGAGAUCAUACCAUAAUGCACCUUUUGGGCUUACAGACAACAAAUUUAUGUUCCCUUUGCUCUAGUAGUCACUAUAAGAAUUCCUUAUUCAUGUUUUACUGCAUAGAGUCAUUGGCUACAGUGGACAAUUGAAAGUUUACAGUUGCUUGUCAGUGUUUUGGUGCUAUAUAGCUCCCAGUGUGAGAAAUUAAUGCUCUGAUAUUGACUUAUUGAUCUGCCUCAUGUGUGAGAUUUUUGUCACCUAUGCUGGGAGUGGCUGAGGCAUUGAUGGUUUAUGAGAAUGUUCUGGUUUUCUUUGAAUGAACACAAACUGUUUUGUCUGUUGAUUCAACUGCAUAUAUUGUAUUCAUAUUGUGCUUCUCUUGAUUUAGGCACUGAUGGUAGAAAAAUGUUGAGAACGGAGUUUGACGGUAAAUCUAGUCUCUUUUAUGUGGAAUUACCUGAAGGAACUGUACUAUCCCAUAUAGUGGAGGACAACGAGAACUUUCCUGCUCAAUUUGGACGUGAGGUAAUCUAUCUGGCGUUCUUAGUCUAUUUGCUUCGACUGGUUUUCAUCUAGGCUUAAGUUAUUGCUUCUGAGUUUAGUUUGGUUUUUCAGUUAUGGAAUAUGGUAUUAAUUCUGUCCCUACGUAUGGUCGGUGACGGAUGUCAAUAAUUUGGACAAAGUGGUCUUCAAAAAUGUCUUUCAACUUGAAGCCUUGGACAACUUUUGAAAUUUAAAUUUAGCGGACUGUAGUCUAAGCACGUAACAUGAUGCCUGUGAAACUGUGCAGGUGGUGGCGGGUUUGUUGAACGUGGCAGAUAAGGCUGAUUGGAGGAAUUGCGCGCUAAGCAAAGAAGAAGAGAUCAAAUUGGCGGAAGAAUUCAAGCGCCGAUUUGCAGCAUUCGACCCCAAUACAUGAUUGUCGCACUGAGGGUCAACAACAGUACGCGUCUUCCGUCUUUCCCUUAUUAUAACGACCUUGGAAUUCCAAGACAACCUAAGGGGGGAUGUUCCGCAAGAGCGGACAAAAGAAAACAUCCACGAAGUCGAUUCAUGCAUCAGGUGUCGAGCAUGCAGAGGCAAGUUUGUUUAUUUAUCAUAUCCAAAUGAAUGUGGCUAGGGAUGAUUCUUGUUGCGCGAACCACCAAGAGACGGACAAAAUCCUAGGCCUUCAAAAGCUGCGAUCUUGCAGAUCCUUGAGAAAGAGACUCGGAAGUGGGCUUUACCUAAAAAAUGUGCGCGUCCUUCGAGCCCUUCGUGGAACGUGCUGCUUCUUUCUUGGUCAAAAUGAAUCCGCAGUUGGAUUUUUACACAUUUCUUUACUUUGUUUUCGUUAAUUACUAAAUGGCUCUCCUUAGUUGCUCGUCCUCUAUUGCAAAAAUUGUUUUAACAGCUCGUUUGGAGCAUUAUUGCGCGACAUGUAAGGUGAUUGCGACGUUCCAAGGUGCUGUUCUCCUUAAGCUCGCGCGACGAUAUUUUGCUUCGAAUGAAACAUAAAGCGUUUCGGGAAGUGGGACAAUAAAAUAACAUCGGACAUUUGAAUUUAGACGGCUUAAUCAACGUGACGGGGAUUUCAACCGCCCUCGAUUUAUUUAAGGUCUUGAUCCACAUGAUGUUUAGUAGGGGUGUGCAUAGUCUGGAUGGGCGGUUCCCGGCCUAGAAUCGAGAACUGCCUGCUAAGGACCGGAUCCAAACAAAUGGAAUUGGGAAUCAACUGUUGUUGCAUGAAUCUACCCAAGAACCGAACCGCCGGUUCGGUUUGGUUUUCGGGUGGAUCCAUGGAACCAGUCUCACUAAUAAUAAUAUCUCACCAAUAAUAAUAUCAUUUUCUAAAUCCUGCGGUAAAUAUUUUUCAUAUCGAGUAAUAUUUUUCUUUUUCUUUAAAUCGAACUGGCUUAAUUAAGGGUAUCAUUUUAUUUUAUUUUAUUGGAAAACAUUAUAAAAGGAGAGAAAUAUGUUUUUUUUUUCCUAUUUUUGAAUCAUUUUAGUUGAAAUCUAAAUAUUCUUUAAGUUUAAGAUUUUAGAUAAUUGUCAUAUGUAGAUCAUCUUUUUAUUUAUCCUCUAACAAUGUUCAAUCUAUUAUAACAUUUGCUUUACCGAAUUUUUUCUGUAGAAACAAUUUCAUCGGUACUCCACAUAUUCUUGAACAUAAUGUCGUGUGAGUCCCAAAAGUAUCAUGGAGCCAUUUGUUGAGUUGUUGAAAGACAGCUUACACACUUUACUAAAUUCUUAUUAAAACGUGGAUGAAUCCCUAAAAUUUAGAUUUCUAAUUAGUAAUUUCGAAAUUUAUUUUAAUAUUAAAAAUCAAUAUAUUAUUAUAAUAUAAUUAGUUCGGUCUGAGUGGGUGAAUCUACCCAUGGAAUCGGAAACUGGACCGGUUCCUUCAAGAACCACCGGUUCCGAGCGGUUUCGGUCCGGUUUUAGGCGGUUCGGGCUGUUCCGGUUCUUUUACACACCUCUAAUGUUUUAGUCUUGAAAAGUUCUCCACAAAAUAAAUUUCAUUAUCUCACAAAGGAAUCACGCAAAAUCUUUGAUCUUAGAUUUUCGCUGACUUUGAAUACUUGUAACCAUGCAUGUAAAACAAAGCUCACGAAGUGUAUCUGCCCACCGAGAUCCACUACUCCACGAUAGACUGUCCACUUCUGAUCCCUCUUCACUCAGUCAUAGUCCACCACCACUUUGAAACUCCAAAGUCCAAAAGAAAUCCGACCUUUCUUUGGAAAAAUUAUGCAAAAAGUUUUAAAUAUAUUACAAUUUUAUCGAUUUAUUUUUAUACUUUUCAAUUUUACGAAUUGAGAUUUAAACAUUUCGACAUUUUACUAAUUGAGUCUAUUCGGUCAAUUUUAAUUGAAAUUUGUUGACGUGGAUGUCGACCAUCUCACGUGACAUGGCUAGCGUCGAUAUAAACAAAAUUUCUUAAUUUUCAAUUUUUUUUUCGAAUUUUUCAAUUAUUUUUAUUUUUUUAAUUUUUUUUUCUUCUCUCUCCCUCCCUUUUCUUCAUUUGGUUGGUCGCCCAAACUUCGGCGAUUGACAAGGAUCGGCCUCAUCAAGAUCUAACCGCCUCACAAGAGGAUAGUCUCGUAGGCCUCAAGCAACAUUGAUGGCGAGGGUGAGCCUUGAUCCCGGUUGACGAGUCACCCUCGGUGGCCUUCGGCAAGGCUAACCCUUGUUGGCCUUGUCCAAGGUUGGCGAGGUUGCCUCUCGCAAAAUCUUAGCGAGGCCGAUCCUUGCUGGUCGUGGCCUGUGGUCGGUUGUUGAUGGCUGGCCAGAGAAUAAAAAGGGGAAAAAAAGAAAAAAAAAUUAAAAACAUAAAAAAAUUAAAAAAUUAAUAAAAUUUGCUUACUUUAGCAUCGGCCAUACCAUAUAAGACAGUUGACAUUCACGUUAGUAAAUUUCAAUUAAAAUUUAUUGGAUAGACUUAAUUGACAAAAAAUGAAAAUAUUUGUGACUUAAUUAGCAAAAUUGAAAGGUUUAGAAUUAAAGGCAAAUGUGUUAGAAUUUCCUGCACUCUGGAUGCAUUUUUCUGAACAACCUUGCCGGGGUCGAACAUUCGUGUCUGAAUACACGUCGCUUUUUUUGGGAAGGGCCGACCAUGAGUCAAUUGUCAAACAACCUUUUUGGCUUAUGAUCAUGACAUGGCAAAGAGUAAAUUUUUAUUUUAUUUUAUUUUAUUUUAUUAUUAUCAUUGUUCAAAGAACGACGACGCUAAAGAUGGUCAUCGUGGUUUCUAUUUGGCACUUGUCAAAUAUCGAUCUUCUUAUCACGAGCAGAUGCGUGCACACGGGACGAGCGAAGGUGACAUUUUUCAAAACAAUCGUGCAAGGAGAGUAUGAAAGCUGUUGUUCUUGUGUCUGGUUAGUUUGGUCUAAGAUCAGUAAAACCUAGAAAACAUGAAACCCACGAAGUUCGUAAGAUCGAUGUCAACAUGGUCGGGCAUCCGGUGAUCUGCGACCAUGUUAAUCGAUGUUGUGCUUCAUCUUAUGACAGGUUUAAUCCCUAAAUUAAUUGCCGGUCCCAAUUUUAGGACGAAUUUCAGAUUUCCAUCUAGAUAUCGAUUGAAAAUGCCGACCAAGUGCCGAUACACAAAUGGCACUGGUGUUUACAAGGAAUAUAUAAUAUAAAUAAUCGAAGAGGAAUUACAUAAAUGGUUCCUAUACUAUGGCUUGUGUUAAAUUUCGGUCCCUAUACUUUAUUUUGCAACAGAAUCAGUCCGUAACUUGAUUUUAGAUCCCGAUUUCCAGAUAUUUUCCUCCUCAAAUCGAUUUGCUAAUUGAUACAAAUCCUAAUCAGUUACAACGAACAAACCACGUGCGGGGAAACUUACAUUCGUUGUCUUGGCCAGGCUUUCCUCAGGUAUCUAAUGACCUUAUAUUGUUGCCCACCAAUAACACAUUAUCAUAGCUAUUGCCCAUUUAUUACGAAAUAAUCGUUUUAGGAAGGACAAUUUUAGAUUUUCCGGUCCACAUGGGCUGGAUUCUUGCUCGAGUGGUGGCUAUUUACGAGAACCGCCACUAGUUCCUCAAUUUUGCACUAAUUAUAACAUGGGACCGUCACACAUUAAUCUUCAGCACCUAAUCAGCAUUUUCUGUUCACAUAUGGAUGGGAAAAAUACGAAAUUCGUCCGAAAAUCAAGAGUAAAGAAUAGUGCGGGGAACACAUGUGCAACAAUAAUUAAACUAGAAAGGACCGUAAUCGAGCAGGAGCAUUAUGGAGGACAUUUUUAUACUUUCCACUCGACAUUUUAUUUGAUUUUCUCAUGUUGCGUUAGUGCCAGUGUCCGUAGCUGGUGCUUAGUCAGCGUUCCUCGUCGUGGAAAUCGAGCAAAGGCUUGUAGAUUCAGUUCCCGACAUGGAGAGAUCCCCUUUUCGUCUAUAUAUACGUGCACCGCUCGACAGCACCGGUCUCACAUUACCUCGUAUCUGAAAAUCUCCGCUAAGGGAAGGUUUGGUUCGAUGGAUGUGGAGCAUAGCAGAGCCAACUCGGCCGUCGUCCUGGCCCACUCGAACCGAGAAUGCCCCAUCUCCAUCCCCGCUGCCGCUGCAGCCGGCCAACCCCCCCAGCUGCCGCCUUCGCCGGUAUGCGAGAAGUGCAUAUACCCGUGCUUCAAAUUCUCAACGAUCGCCGCCACGGUCUUUGUCUGUAUUCUCUUCGUGGUCAUACCCGCUCUCAUGAUCCCCGACUUCCGGGUCGUACCGGCCUCCUCUUCCGGCUCAUUCAACGUCUCCGCCUCCGUGAUCUCCGUGGGCUGCGACGUUCGCAUCGGGGUUGUGAACCCGAGCAGCUACUUCCGAGUGAACUACACGGGCGUGAGGGCCACGCUCAAGUACGGAGGCAAGCGCUUAUCGGGCGCUUCAUUGGAUCCGUUCGUGCUGGGAAAGGGGAAGCAAGCGACGGUCGCCGCCGUGUUUAAGUCGAACUUGUUGAACAGUAGAAACAGUUGGCAAGCCGUGACUCUGGACUCGAGCGUCUCGAGCGGCGAGGUAAGCGUCGACAUCGACCUGGAGGUCGGCAGGAGAAUAGGGUUGGGCGAGUGGUGGAUUAGUGCGUUUGAUGUGACCAUCUCAUGCAGGGACAUGAUCUUCACGUCCCCGUCCUCGGAGGGCCAGGAUUGGGCGUUGAUCACCCCGUCCGAGCUUUGUGACAUUGGCUUCUUUGGUUAUAUUUAGCAGGAGCAAACUCUGCACGCGAAAAAAUACGAAAAAACCAGAAGAAAAAAGAAAAGAAAAAAUUACAGCGCAUGCAUAAAGCGUCAGUAUAAAGAAAAUUCUGCAUAAAUGAUCCCUAUCCUUCGCUGAUUAGGAAAUCAGCAUUUCGAAGGAUGCAUGACUUCGCUUGAACAUCCGACGCAACUUUAGCUCAUGUGCAUGAUGCAUAAGAGAUGCAUCUAGCAGCGUCCUCAUCAAAAGAGUUGUCGACGGGAUGAAGUUUGAUCCGUCUGUGUCCGUCUGUGUCUGUUGUCCGUAUGAUUCUAUGGAUCUGGAUACUGUCGGGUACUUGACUCGGUUUUAAGACAUUCAGAUCGUGACCCAUCACCUCUAAAAAUUCGAUAGGUUGCCGAAAUGAAGUUGCAGGUGGAUUCACCCCGAUCUCAGGACGCAAAGCGAGUCAGGUCAUUUGUACAUAGUACGUAUAUGGAAGAUCUCUAGAUUUCCUUGUUUAGGAACUGCAGUUGCGUACAUAUUUAGCAGUAUCUUUUGAUUUGACAAGAAAUGUAAAAUUUAGUUACGUGUGAUUGCUAGGAUUUGACUCUCCUCGUGCCGAUGAUGGUAACUAAGAUUGGUAGGAGUUGACUCUCCUGAUAUCGAUGAUUUUAACUUAUAAAUAUGAAUGGAUUGUUCAUGGUGUUUCACUAGAAUCUAAUCGACGACAAAAUAUCUUUUUCAAGAGUUGUUCUUCGACUUUUGAUGAAAGGAAAUGGGUUUUGUAGCGACUCCGCAUAGGAAAUAUUCAGGCGGACAAGAAAUAGCUGCAACUCUUUAUUUGGAAUUUCAAACCAAAUUGUACAUACAAAUUUAGUUAACAACAAGGUUUGAAAAUACAAUCAUUUCCAUAAUAAUACAAGUGCACAAACUGUGUUAAAUUAAUAUCUUGAGUUUGAAUUUAGAUGUUAAUUUAUUAGCCAAAUUUGUUGAGAAAGAUUUUUUUGGACGGAUUUAAAUCUCACGAACGGAAGAUGCCUUCAACAAGAGGUGAAAUUGCAAGCUAGAAGACAAAAUAUUGGGAUUCUAUAUAGAUGCACAAAGGAGGAAAUAAAUAGAAAGAAAAAGCAAGAUUUUUUAUAUGUACACGGUGGGUCCAGAGUCAAAUUGUUGACUCUAGGGACACUCACGUAUAAAGAAAAAAUGUGAGGAUUUCUUUCUUUUACCUGCAGAAGAAGCCUAGUUCACGUUGAAGAUUUAAGUCAGUGGGCUAGGUCAAUUUUUUGACCUUAGGCACACAUAAAAAGCAGAAUGCGUUCUUUCUUCAAGAGGAGCCGCAAGACUUGAGAGCCGCAUGAGAAAGACGUCCAGAAAGAAGCCACACAAAGCCUUGAAUAAGAACACAAAGCCGUACGUAUGUGGACCAAAGAUGAACGCUGGAGUUCUUGAUUUUGGUGUAUGUAGAGCAUUUUUUUUUUGAGCUUGAAUGCGUGGUAAUUUUUGUGCCGUGAGUUUACGUCCAAAUGAAUUAUUUAUUUAUAAACACUUUGGAUUUUGGUUUAAAUUUAGGUGCGGGAAACACUCAAGUGUGUAAGCGAUUGUAAACUCUAAUUCUCUAAUUAUAGUGGAUUAUUUGCUGCUGGCUCUCUCCGUGAAUGUAGGUACCGAUAUUCGGAUCGAAUCACGUAAAUUUCUAAUGUCAUUAUUAUUUCUCUGGUGAUUUUGCGUUGAUGUAAAUUGCAAGAUCUUGUCAUUUUCACCUAUUAUAUUCCAACAAUUGGUGUAAGAGCUUGGGAUUAGAUUUCUUGAUUAUGAUUUGGAGUUUUUGCUUUUCUGAUUAUUAUAUGGAAAUUUUAUUAUUGCAAUUAUGUCUUAGAGGAAAUUUGAAAUUAAGAAAUUUAACGAGAGGAACAACUUUGGAUUAUGGAGUAUCAAGAUGCGAGCGUUAUUGAUAACCCAAGGUUUGGCCAAGGCACUUGAUGGUGAAAAUGAGUUGCCAAUUAUAAUGAAAGCCUCUGAGAGGGUAGAGUAAAUGGAAAAAGCAAGGAACACAAUUGUGUUAAACUUGUUAGAUGAGGUUUUAAUAGAAGUUGCAAAGGAAAAGGAUGCCGCAGCAUCAUGGGCAAAAACUUCAGGCACUCUAUGUAGAGUAAGGUUUGAAUAAUCGCUUGUACAUGUUGAAAAUGAUGUUUCACUUUAGAUAUACUAAAGGCACGUCUAUUAGAACCCACCUGGAUGAAUUCAAUAAACUUAUGAUGGAUUUGAAGAAUGUUGGUAAGAUACUUGAUGAUGAAGAAUAUGACAUGAUGUUGUUAGCUUCUUUACCAUAGUUAUGUGAGCACUUUACUGAUUCACUGUUAUAGGGACAUACUACAAUUAUUUCAGAAGAGGUAAAGUCCGUCUUGUCUCUAAAGAGUGGUAGAGAAAGUUGCGAGUGAUGAUCUGGCGUAGAGAUUAGUGCAAGCACCGAUGAUUCGGGAUAGAGAACAACAUCGAUGACCUAGUAGCAGCACAUCAUAGAAAGUCUAAGGGACACGUGAAGUGCUUUGAGUGUCAUGAGUAGGGGCACAUCAAGAGAGAUUGUUCAAAAUGGAGGAAUAAAUGUGAUAGGUAGAAUGCCACAAGCAAUGUGGCAAACAUUGCUGAGGGGAGCACUAGUGAUACAGAAGCUGUUUUAUGUGUGAUUACUAUUUCGUCAGGAGACGAAUGGGUGCUAGAUUCGGGGUGUUCUUAUCAUAUGAUGCCUCAUAAGAACUAGUUUAUUACUUACCAGACUAUAGAUGGUGGUAGUGUUUUUUUGGGGAAUAAUGUAGCUUGCAAGGCUGUGGGGAUAGGGAUAAUUCAGAUUUGGAUGCAGAAUGGGGUGGUGCGCACAUUGACAGAUGUGAGGCAUGUAUUGGAGCUCAAGAAAAACCUUAUUUCUCUGGGGACACUCGAUGACAUCGGGUGUAGGUACAUUACUAAAGGUGGAGUACCAAAGAUCUCUUGAGGUGCCAUGACAGUGAUGAAGGGGAAUAAAGUGAAUAGUCUAUCAUCUAUUGGGAGAGAUUGUGACCAAAACUUCUGUAGUUUCAUCAGGUGAGUCAAAUUCUGACUUAACUCAAUUAUGGCAUAUGCGUUUAGGGCACAUGAGUGAGACAAAUAUGAUGAUGCUAAGUGAAAGAGGGUUGUUGAAGGGUCAAAAGACAAGAAAGUUAGACUUUUGUGAGCACUGCAUCUUUGGGAAGCAGCAUCGAGUUAAGUUUAUUAUAGUUGUUUAUUUGACCAGAUGACCAAUUGAAUAUAUUCAUUUAGACGUUCGGGGCCUGUCUUUGAUUCCUUUGAAAGGAGGUGCUCGAUAUAUGCUGACAUUUAUCGACAACUAUUCAAGGAAGGUAUGUGUAUACUUUCUAAAGCACAAAUAUGAAGUGUUCGAUUGAUUCAAGAAAUUUAAGGCAUUGAUUGAGAAGUAGUCAGAUAAACAUAUCAAAUACCUGAGAAUCGAUAAUGACAUGGAGUUCUGUGAUAAGUAUUUUACCGAGUUCUGCGAGAAAGAAUGUAUUGUGAGAUACUGCAUAAUACCUGGGAUACCACAGUAGAAUGGCGUGGCAGAACGGAAGAACGGAACUUUACUUGAGUGAGCUCGAUGCAUGCUUUCGCAUGCAGGACUUGGCAAUGAAUUUUAGGUCGAAGCAAUAAACAUGGCAUAUUACUUGAUUAAUCGAUCUCCACCAUCUACUAUCGAGUGGAAAGCUUUUGAGGAAGUAUGGUUGGGGAAACAUGUUGAUUACUUCGGAUUACGUAUAUUUGGAUGUUUAGCGUAUGCUUAUGCGAGUAAUGGUAAGCUUGAGCCGAGGGCAAAGAAGUACAUAAUUUUGAGUUAUGCAUAUAGGGUGAAAGGCUACCGGCUGUGGUGCACUAAUCCUGGAUCACCCGAUUUUCUAAUUAGCAGAGACAUGAUCUUUGACAAGACUGCGAUGCUUUAACAGAGGAGUUCUGUAACACAACCAGCAAAGCAGAUAGAUCAUGGUGUCAUUAGUGAGGUGGAGCUUUAGAUGGAGACUUCAAAGACCUCGAAGGUAAUGGAAGUUGAGACUACAGAUGAGGUUGCAGUUCUUGAAAUCGGUAAUAGUGAACAACCAGUAAAGCCACAACACACUAUAGCCGUAGAAAGAUAGAGAAGACAAAUUAAAUCAUAUGUACAUUAUGGUUAUAUAGAUAUUGCUUAUGAAGUAACUGUAGGUGAUGAGGUGGAGACAAAUAAGCCUUCGUCUUACUUUAAGACGAUGAUUAGUUCGAAGUCGUAGUGGCUAGGAGCUAUGAGUGAAGAGAUGAAAUCACUCCAUCAUAAUUAGAUAUAGGAGUUGGUCAAAGUACCCAAGAGCCAAAAGAUUGUUGGAAGUAAAUGGGUCUUUAAAUGAAAAGAGGGCAUUCUCGGUGUCGAGACAAUGAGGUAAAAUGCAAGACUUGUGGCGAAAUGGUAUAUAUAAUGUGAGGGCAUUGACUACAGUGAGGUGUUCUCUCUUGUGGUAAGACAUACUUCUAUUCGUGUGUUACUUGCCUUAGGUGCUUCGCAGGAUAUUGAGUCAGAGCAGUUAGAUGUGAAAACUGUAUAUUUUCAUGGUGAGUUGGAGGAGCAAAUUUAUAUAAGGUAGCUAGAGGAAUUUGUUAUUUCGGGUAAGGAAGAUCAUGUUUAUUUGUUGAAGAAAUCUUUGUAUAGAUUGAAAUAGUCUCAUUGAUAGUGGCAUAAACGUUUUAAUGCUUUCAUGACUAGUCAAGACUAUUCAAAAAGUCAUAUGGAUAGCUGUGUCUACUUUAGGAGAUUGGAGAAUGGUUAUUUGAUUUAUCUACUUUUAUAUGUUGAUGAUAUGCUAAUAGCAACUAAAAAUAUGCCUGAUAUUGAUGUGCUGAAGAUGUAGUUAAAUGCUGAAUUUGAGAUGAAAGAUUUUGGUGCUGCAAAGAAAAUAUUGGGUAUGGAGAUUUUGCGUGAUAGGAUUACAAGAGUUUUAUGUCUAUCUUAAAAGAAAUAUAUUGAGAAGAUCGUGGCACGUUAUAAUAUACAAUCAACAAAAUCUGUAAGUACACCUUUAGCGAAGCACUUUAAAUAUUCAGAUAAAUUAUCACCGCAGAUUGAGAACGAGAAGCAUAUGUCCCGUGAUCCUUAUUCUAGUGCCGUGGGUAGUAUUACAUAUGAUAUGGUAUGUACUAAGCUUGAUAUUUCACAAGUUGUGAGUGUAGUUAGUUGCUAUAUGAAGCAUCCUAGUAAAACUCACUGGAAAGCUGUUAAGUGGAUCAUCAGAUAUUUGAAGGGGACAACAGACGUGUGUAUAGUGUAUCGGAGGAACAACAAUGGUAGUGAGACCACUAGUUUUGUGGAUUCUGAUCAUGCCGGUGACUUGGAUGAUUGCACAUUUUUAGCAAGGUACAUGUUUAUUCUAACAUGUGGUGCAGUUAAUUGGAAAGAGUCCUUACAAGAUUACGUUGUCUGUCUUCGACUGAGGCAAAGUAUAUGGCAUUAACUUUUAUAGUGAAUGAGGCGAUAUAGUUACCGAGUUUGCUCUUGAACUUUGGGCUAGAACAAAAAAGUGUGGAUAUACACUAUGAUAACCAAUGUGUGAUAUAUUUGGCAUAUAAUCUAGUUUAUCACAAGCGAACGAAGCAUGUCAACAUUAGGUUUCACUUCAGCUGAGAUGUCUUAGCUAAGAGUAAUGUUAUUGUCAAAAAUAUUGCUACAGCAGAAAAUCCGACAAACAUAAUGACUAAGUCUGUUUUUUUGGCGAAACUCAAGUUUUACUUGAGCUUUAUUGGCGUCUGUGGAGAGUGAGCAUUCGUCGGGGCGUUGGGAGAGCAAUAUGGAUGAUGAGUACUAUAAAUUGGCUUCAAAAUAUCAAGCCAAUGUGGAAAAUUGUUAAAUUAAGUCUCGAGUUUGAAUUUGGAUAUUGAUUUGUAAGCCGAAUUUGUUGAGGAAGAUUUUCUUGGACGGAUUUAAAUCUCACGCAUGGAAUAUGUCUUCAACAUGAGGUGAAAUAUUGCAAGCUAAAGACAAAAUAUUGGGAUUCUUUAUAAAUGCAUAAAGGAGGAAAUAAAUAGAAAGAAAAAAACAAGGUUUUCUAUCUUUUACCUUGCAGAAGAUUCAUUUUGGGGGAUGUACAAGGUGGGGCCCAAAGUCAAAUUGUUGACUCUAGGCAUGCUCACGUAUAAAGAAAAAAGGUGAGGUUUUCUUUCUUUUACCUGCAGAAGAAGCCUAGUUCACGUUGAAGAUUUAAGUCCGUGGGCCUAGGUCAAAUUUUUGACGUACACAUAUAAAAAGCAGAAUGUGCUCUUUCUUCAAGAGGAGCCACAGGACUUGAGAGCCGCAUGAGAAAGACGUCUAGAAAGAAGUUACGCGAAGCCUUGAACAGGAACACGAAGCCAUACGUACGUGGACCAAAGACGAAUGAUGGAGUUCUUGAUUUUCGCGUACGUAGAGCGUUUUUGUUUUGAGCUUGAACACGUGGUAAUUUUUAUGCCGUGAGUUUAUGUCUAAGUGAGUUGUUUAUUUAUAAACACUUUAGGUUUUGAUUUAAAUUUAGGCGUGAGAAACACUUGUGUAAGCAAUUGUAAAUUCUGAUUCUUCAAUUAUAAUGGAUUAUUUGCUGCUAGCUUUUCUCGUGGACGUAGGUACCGAUACUCGGAUCAAACCAUGUAAAUUUUUGGUGUCUUUAUUAUUUCUCUAGUGAUUUUGAGUUGACGUAAAUUGCAAAAUCUUGUCGUUUUCGCCUAUUAUAUCCCAACAAAUUGUGUUGGAAUUUAAUCGGUGACAAAACUCGAGAACAUGCAAAGAUGUAAUGCCAAAAUUUAAUCAAUGGCACGAAACCCAUAAUAGAGAUGCACGUUGGAAUUGAAUUGACAAUGAAGCAUUGGAAUAAAGAUAUGCACCAUAAUUUAAUCGAAGACAUGAAUUGGAAAGCUAUAACUAAGGAAAAAUAAAGUGCAGAAAAGUAAAGACAAUAAAAUAUUACAUUUUGUUUGUCCAGGAUCUCUCCCAUUGAUGAGAAUUUAGUAUUUAUAGACCUUUCAUUACAACCGUUCGGAAGGAAUUCCUUCAUGGUUGUAACUGUAGCCACACACUUCCGAAAAUAAUGGUCCAUGUUCCCCAUGUUGUCCAUUCUCUUCUUCAAAUAGUUGUCCGUCAAAAUAGUGGCCAUGAUCUCCCCAUGUUCAUUUCCCGUUUGUAAUUGUUCUCCACGCCCUGAGCUUUGUAACUGUUGUCCUUCAAAAUAGCGGCCAUGAUCUCCCAUGUUCACUUCCUGUUUGUAAUUGUUCUCCACUCCCCGGGCCUUGUAAUUGCUCAGUUGUCAAUCUCUCCACGUUGGUCAACUAUCAUCCACAAUCUCCCUUAGUGGGUCUUCACAUGCAUGAGCCUUGGUGCAAUUCUCUAAAUGGAUUAUCUUGCUUCUCAGUUAAGAUGCUUGUCGACACUCCUCAGUUAAGAUGCUCAUAGACAACUUGGGCAAAAUAAUCUGCAAUCAUUUGCCACUUGUCGAUAUGUGCCAACAUUUAGACCCAAACCAUCAAAUAGCAUGCGAUAUCGACCAAUAUUCAAUACAUUCAAUUGGCUUCCUUCACGGAUGAUCAAAUAUGCCCUGAUAGGAUAUUCUCCACUCUCUUCCUGUUUUCUUCGUUAAUUUUGAUGAUUGCAUAUGAGGUUGUCGAUUUCACCUUUAUUGCUUUCGAAUGAUCAUCGUAUAUCGAUAAUAACUAAAUAUCAAGCACUUUUGGGUGUCAACACAUGGUAUGAUGGUUUGUUUCAAAUUAUUGAGAUUUCUCUCUAAUUCUCCAAGGGACUUAUCCCUUGUAAUCUGGUCUUCUCCAGGAUCUUCAGACAAAUGAGAGGGCUCGCUAUUAACACCGCCAUAUAAUAGACUUUACACAUGCGAUUGCUGAUCUUUUUUUUAUUUUAUGUUAUAUAUGGUAUUGUAGAUUUCAUCAGUUGCACUGUAUUUAGCUUAAAGUUUUGAACUAUUGUCUUUAAUGCGAUGCGAAAGACGGGAUAACAAAUACUCUAUACUCCAAUUAAUCCAUCAAUUGGUGAGUGAAUUCCUUGGUUCUGAUUUACAUGUAAGAGGUCAUACACAGUGGUUAUUUAUAUAAUUUUUUUCUUGUUAUUCGCGACUAACUUGUAUACUAUCACACAUUUCAUAUAUACAAGAUUUACAACGGUCUUAUAACACAAGUUCUCUCUCUCUCUAGCUUAAACUUUAGGUGGAACUUUCUUUAUGAGGAUUGAAACUCGAUCUGAAAACUUUGUUCAUUCAAAUCUUUCAUAAUAAGAUGGUGUGGCGGAUCGUGUCCCCCGACUUACCCUUCUCUACAUUGUGUCAUAGAUCAUUUGCAUUGGGAGCUUGUGUAGUUUUCGCCAGCAGAUCAACAUAUUUUGGUGUUGCUCCCUGAGUUUAAGUUUUGUCAGUUAAGGGUAUAUUUAGUAAUGUACCAGAUAGUGUCUAUUUCUAUUCUUUUGUUAUUCGGAACUAAAAAGAACAAAAUGCGUUCAGUAACGUUUUUGUUCAUACGACCAUAUUUGUUCCCUGAAAUAGAUUUGGAAUAUAAUCAAUUAGUAAAAGGAAAUUACUUCUUUUUUCUUAGGAACAAUUCUAGAAUCAAGCCUUUUCUUUUCGUCUUUUCCUUCUUCUUCUUCCUCUAGUUGAUCAUUGGCCCUCGGUGAGGCCGAGCUCGUUCAGCCAUCAGUGAGGCCAAGCUCUUCUAGCCACCGGUGAGGCUUGACCUUGCCCACUUGCCCAACCACAAUGAGCUCGCUGGCCCUCGUCUGGCCAGUUGCUAGCCAUUGUUGAGGCCGGUGAGCAGUUAGAGGAGGAAGAAGAAGAAAAGGAGAAAAGAAAAGAAAAAAAGAGAAAAGUGUAACAAAAUUAUUAAAAAAUUAAAAGAAAUUUUAAGUUUAAAAAAAAUUUGAGGUCCUACCAAAGACAUUUUUAUUCUGGGAAUAGAAAUUUUAUGCAGUUACUAAAUACCUUUGAAUGCUCAGAAACUCAUCUAGGGAACAGAACAAGAAAAUAUCAUUUCUGACCAGAAAUUAUUCUCGUGGAUAGAAUUGUUACCAAAUGCACUCUAAAUCAUAUUUAUCAAAUAGUUUAGGUGGGUAGGAUGAAGACUAAAUUAGACAUGAACAUUUUAUUGAUUGUCCUCAACGUUAAUCAUGCAGGGAGAUACUUGUUCUCUAAGGCAUGCUUUUAUGCGGACAAGUAAUGGAAUGCUAUUUUAUCUUUCUGUAUGUACUUUAUGUCGUACAUAAGAUCUUUUCAUGUGUUAUUAGUAUGCUUCUCUAUGACUAGCUUACUCUAUAUUGGAGUUUUCUGGUAUCUAAACUGAUGUUGGUACAAAUCUCUCUGUUCUUGCCUGUCUACUAGUGUUUCCAAUUUUCAUAUUACCCAUGUGCAUCAUAAUCUUGUUUUUCUCUCAGAAAAUUAUCCAUGCGCUUUCUCCUACUCCGGCAUCUACCAUGUCUUCCUCUGAGAUUAGCAUGAAACCUCCAAACACAACCUUGUCUCCAUUUACAGCAUCAGAGAAAACUGCUGGUGCAAAGGAAGCAGGAAAGAGGACUGCCGAUGACACUAAUGACGCACAAUAUUGGAGAUAUGUUGUUUCCCAAAAACGUCAGAAUUUGUCUUCUGGAUCUUGUCCACGAGGUGAAAAAUGCAACUACCGACAUGAUAUAGAUGCAAGGGAGCAAUACCGAAGAGGGCUUUGUUUUGAUUUUCUUGACAAAGGGAAAUGUGAAAGAGGUCCUGACUGCCUUUACCAAAAAAAAAAAAAGAGGUCCUGACUGCAACUUUAAGCACAGUUUGCAGGAGGAAGAGGAAAGUGGUUCUCGAAAUGGAAAUGGGUCUAGAGGUGCUCAAUGGGUGCCUUCUGUUUUUUUGCUAAUAGUUUACAUUGGUUCUAGUGGAAUGAAAUUUUUGACCACUGCUUAUGAAUCCAUUUUAAGCAGAGUCUGUGAUUGAAAUUCAGUCAAAAGAAUGCUGGUUUCGUUUAUCGAGCCACGAGUCUCAUCUGAUCAUCAGUGUAGGAGAAAGAUACUACCGUGCGCUGCCCAAGCGGCCAUUAGUUGAAGACCACGGGCUGAUAAUACCUAUCGAGCAUCUACCAAAUACUCUUUCUUUGCCUCCAGAAAAAGAAACAGAGCUUGACAGAUUCCAGAACUGCUUGAAGAUGUAUCACAAAAACCAGCAGAAGGAAGAUGUUUUCUUUGAGUGGGUUUCCAAACGUGGGACUCAUGCUAAUCUUCAGGUAUUGUCAUAGUACAAAGAAAAUUUAUAACAUCUUGCUCAUGGUAUUACUUUAUUUUCUUCAUCCAUCUUGUCAUUUUAUCUCUCUAAGUGCCAGUCAGUCACUUUCUUAUUCUCAAUAGUUUGAUUGCAUUGCCUGCAGGCUAUUCCUGUUCCAUCAUCUAGAGAAGCUGCUCUUCAGAGUAUGUAUUUGGUUUGGCUGCGGAGAAGUUGGGGUUUAAACUUAACUCCUUGAGUAAGUUAAAUUUGUCAUUUCUCCUGUUUUUUUUGGAGUUCUAUAAUGGGAUAAGAAAAUUCAGUAACUACGGUCCUUAAUCCUUGAGAUCAUACUAUAAUGCACUUUUUGGGCUUACAGGCAACAAAUUUAUGUUCCCUUUGCUCUAGUAGUCAUUAUGUGAAUUCUUUAUUUAUGUUUUACUGCAUAGAGUCAUUGGCUACAAUGGACAAUUGAAAGUUUACAGUUGCUUACUAGUGUCUUGGUACCAUAUAGUUCCAAUGUGAGAAAUUAAUGCUCUGGUAUUGACUUAUUGAUCUGCCUUGUGUGUGAUAUUUUUGUCACCUAUGCUGGGAGUGGCUAAGGCAUUGAUGGUUCAUGAGAAUGUUCUAGUUUUCUUUGAAUGAACACAAACUGUUUUGUGUGUUGAUUCAACUGCAUAUAUCGUAUUUAUAUUGUGCUUCUCUUGAUUUAGGCAUUGAUGGUCGAAAAAUGUUGAGAACGGGGUUUGACAGGAAAUCUAGAAGGAACUGUACUAUCAUAGUAGAGGGAGUUGUUUAUUCAUCAUUUGCAAAUGAGUGUGGCUAGGAAUGCUUCUUGUUGCGCGAACCACCAAGGGACGGACAAAAUCUGAGGACUUCAAAAGCUGCUUAGGAGCCAAUCUUGCAGAUCCUUGAGAAAGAGACUUGGAAGUCUGCUGCUUCUUUCUUGAUCAAAAUGAAUCGGCAGUUGGAUUUUUACAUAUUUCUUCAAUUUUUUUUACUAGUUAGUCGAUGCCCUUUCUUAGUUGCUUGUCUAUUCAUAAAAAGGUGCCAAAAUUGUUAAACAGCUCGUCUUGAGCGUUAGGGCGCAUUUUGUAACGUUUCCGUUUCGAGGAACAAUUUUUUAAAAGAAAUAGUUUUUUUUUUCUUGGGAACAAUUUCAAAAUAUAAGAACACACUUGGUAACUGCAAAAAAUUUUUAUUUCAGGAAUAGAAAUGCGUUUGAUAAACUUAUAUAAUUUUUUUUAUUUCUUUUAAUUUUUCAAUAUUUUUCAUUUUUUUCUUCUUUCUUUUUUCUUUAUUUUUUUUCCUUCUUUCUCCUUUGUGGUUGGUCGCUGACCAUGGCGGCAGCUGGCGAUCAGCUGGGUGAGGUCCGACGAGUUCGUCGGAACCUCACCAGGCCAUCGUGAGGGCCGGUGAGUCGCUGGAGCCUCGCUAGUGGCCUGGCGAGGCUCGACCUUGCCUAGGCGGCGCGAGGUUGGCCUCGCCUUGGCUUGGUGAGGUCGAGCCUCGUGCCAGCCUACGAGGCUUGGUCUCACCUUGGUUGAGCAAGCUCGAGCUUGCCUAGAUUUGGCGAGGUCGGGCUCGCCCAGCCACCGGCGAGGCUUGACCUCGCCGGGCCACCAUUGGGCGACUCCGACCUGGCGGUGGCUUGGUGAGGCUCGGCGUCGCCGGCCAUGGCCGAGGCUAGCGACCGGCCAAAAGGAAGAAAAAGGAAAGAAAAGAGAAGAAGAAAAAAGAGAAGAAAAAAGAAGAGAGAGAAAUUGUUUCUCAAAAUUGUUCCCGGGAAUAAGAAACAAUUUUUUCUACUUUUUGUUUCUGUUUCAAAUUUGUUUCCGAAAACAAAAAUAUGGAUUUUUUGUUUCCGGAAACAAAAGUUUUACCAAACACUUUUCUGUUCUUUUUUUGUUCCCGCAACAAAAGAACAUAAAUUUUUGUUCUGGGAACAGAAAUACUUUUUAACAAAUAGGCCCUUAGUGCGCGACAGGUAAGGCGAUUGCGAUGUUCCCAGGUGCUGUUCUUCUCAAGCUCAUGCCACGGUGUUGUGCUUCUCACGAAACAUAAAGUGCUUCUAAAAUCGGAACCAUUGAAUGAAUUGGACAUGGAUUUAUCGAUCUGACCGGUUCGGUAGGGAGAGCAGUGCAAGAUUUCAUUAUAUAGAUCAAGCGUGCAAAAGAGAUUACAAUUACAAUCACAUUCCAGUCAUCUAAACUCUUGAUAUUUUCCAGGCUCUAUUUACACUAAAUAAUUCAUGUGAUAUAUAAUCAUCACAAUUUCUCUACCAAAUAAAGUUUCUGUCUCGUGAAGCGAUUAUGCAAAACCUUUGACACAAGAUUUCCACGACUUUGAAUAUAAGUGACCAGUUCCCUCCGACGAAAUCUCCGUAGGGACUCGGGAGUGCUCUAAUUUGGGCGGUAAAACAGAGCUCGCGAAGUGCGUCUACCCACCAAGUACAACUCCAAGAUAGACUGUUCACUUUCUUAUUCCUCUUUUCAUAAGGUCAAAUUGCAACUCCACUUCGAACUCCAAAAGUCCAAAAGAAGUCGGACCUGAAUUUCUCGCACUUCGGAUGCACGCCGCCGAACGCAACGUUGUUGGGGGGUGAAUAUUCCUGUCCGCACACACGUCGCUGUUGUGAUCGUGACAUGGCGAAGGCCGAAUUCCUAUUUGGAAUCGUCGUUCAAGAACGGCGAACCCACUAAAGAUGGUUAUCGUGGUUUCUAUUUGUUGCUCGACAAUAUCGAUCUUCUUGUCACGAGCAGAUACGUGCACAUGGGAGGAACAAAGGUGACAUUUUGUUUUUUGAAAUAAUCGAUAUGCUAAGUAAUUCAAAUCCUAAUCAAUUACGACGAACUAAACAUACGCAGGGAAACUUGCAUGCGCUGUCUUGGUCAGGCUUUCUUAAGGUAUCUAAUGACCUUAUAUGUUUGCACACCACAAACGUGUUAUCAUAGCUAUUGCCCAUUUAUUACGAAAUAAUUGUUUUAGGGGGUACAAAACUUAAACUAGAAAGAUAAAACUUCACCAAAAAAGAAAAAAAAAAAAACUUAAACUAGAAAGGACGUAAAUCUAGCAGGAGCAUUAUAGCGGCCAAUUUUGUAAUUCCCACUCAACAUUUUAUUUGUUCAUGUUGCGUUAGUGCCAUAGUGUCCGUAGCUGGUGCUUAGUCAGCAUCUUUCGUGGAACUCGAGCAAAAGCUUGUAGAUUCAGUACCCGAUAUGGACAGAGAGAUCCCCGUUUGGCCUAUAUAUACGUGCGCCACCCGACAACAACGGUCUCCCCUUACCUCGUAUGAAGGUUUUCUUCGAUGGAUGUGGAACAGAGCAGAGCCAACUCGGCCGUCGUCCUGGCCCACUCGAACCAAGAAUACCCCAUCUCCGUCCCCACUGCCGCAGCCGCGCCCCCCCCCCCCCCCCCCCCCCAGCUGCCAGCGUCGCCGUUAUGCGAGAAGUAUAUAUACCCAUGCUUCAAAUUCUUGACGAUCGCCGUCACGGUCUUCGUCUGCACUCUCUUCGUGAACCUUACUCUAAUGCUGAUGUUGUUCAUGUCACUCGCUUUAUCGGUCUUGCUCCUGUUGGAAACAAAGAAAAACAGGUCACUUACCCUUCUGUACUUUGUGUCAUAGAUCAUUUACAUUUGGGGACAUGUAACUCUAGUCUCCGCCUGGCAGAUCAACAUAUUUUGGUGUUGCUUCUUAAGUUUAAGUUUUGUAGUUAAAUUAUGUUUAUCAAAUACUUUAGGUAGGUAGGAUGUAGACUGAGUUAGACAUGAACAUUUUAUUUGAUUGUCCUCAAUGUUUAUCAUGCAGUGAGAUACUUGUUCACUAAGGCAUGCUUUUAUGCAUACAAGUAAUGGAAUGGCGGCUGUUUUCUCUUUCUGUAUAUACUUUAUGUUGUAGAUAAGAUAUUUUCAUGUGUUAAUAGUAUGCUUCUUUGUGACUAGCUUACUCAAUAUUGAAGUUAUCUGUUAUCUAAACUGCUUUUAGUAUAAAUAUCUCUCUGUUCUUGUCUAUCCACAAGUGUUUCCAAUUUCCAUUCUGCCCGUGUGCAUCAUAAUCUUGUUUUUCUCACAGAAAUUUAUCCAUGCAUUUUCUCCUACUCCGGCAUCUACCAUGUCUUCCUCUGAGAUUAGCAUGAAACCUCCCACCACAACCUUGUCUCCGUUUACAGCAGUAGAGAAAACUGCUGGUGCAAAGGAAGCAGGAAGGAGGAUUGCCAAUGAUACUAAUGACGCACUAUAUUGGACAUACGAUGUUUCCCAAAAACGUCAGAAGCAUGCGGUUGGUGACGGUGAUAAGCUAUGCUUUAAGUAUGUCUUCUGGGUCUUGUCCACGAGGUGAAAAAUGCAACUUCCGACAUGAUUUAGAUGCAAGGGAGCAAUACCGAAGAGGGGUUUGUUUUGAUUUUCUUAACAAAGGGCAAUGUGAAAGGGGUCCUGACUGCAACUUUAAGCACAGUUUGCAGGAGGAAGAGGAAAGUGGUUCUCGAAAUGGAAAUAGGUCUUGAGGUGCUAGUGUUAAUAGGUCAGUUUCCUCAAUGGGCACCUUUUGUUUUUUUUGCUAAUAAUUUACAUUGGUUCUAGUGGAAUGAAAUUUUCGAUCACUGCUUAUGAAUCCAUUUUAGGACAGUUUGUAACUGAAAUUCAGGUCAAAAGAAUGCUGGUUUUGUUUAUCGAGCCCCAAUGUGGAGUCUCAUCUGAUCAUCAGUGUAGGAGAAAGAUAAUACUGUGCGCUGCCCAAGGGACCAUUAGUUGAAGAUCACGUGCUGAUAAUACCUAUCGAGCAUCUACCAAAUACUCUUUCUUUGCCUCCAGAAAAUGAAACAGAGCUUAAUAGAUUCCAGAACUCCCUGAAGUUGUAUCACAAGAACCAACGGAAGGAAUUUGUUUUCUUUGAGUGGGUUUCCAAACGUGGAACUCAUGCUACUCUUCAGGUAUUGUCAUAGUGCAAAGAAAAUUUAUAACAUGUUGCUCAUGAUAUUACUUUAUCUUCUUCAUCCAUCUUGUCAUUUUAUCUCUCUAAGUGCCAGCCAGUCACUUUCUUAUUCUCAAUAGUUUGGUUGCAUUGCCUGCAGGCUAUUCUUGUUCCAUCAUCUAGAGCAGCUGCUCUUCAGAGCAUAUUUAGUUUGGCUGCGGAGAAGUUGGGAUUUAAAUUUAACUCCUUGAGUAAGUCAAAUUUGUCAUCUCUCUUUUUUUUUUGGAGUUCCAUAAUAGGACAAGAAAAUUCAGUGACUAUGGUCCUUAAUCCUUGAGAUCAUGCCAUAAUGCACUUUUGGGGCUUACAGACAACAAAUUUAUGUUUCCUUUGCUCUAGUAGUCACUAGAAGAAAUCCUUAUUUAUGUUUUACUGCAUAGAAUCAUUGGCUACAGUGGACAAUUGAAAGUUUACAGUUGCUUGUCAGUGUCUUGGAGCCAUAUAGCUCCCAGCGUGAGAAAUUAAUGCUCUGGUAUUGACUUAUUGAUCUGCCUUGUGUGUGAGAUUUUUGUCACCUAUGCUGGGAGUGGCUCAGGCGUUGAUGGUUCAUGAGAAUGUUCUGGUUUUCUUUGAAUGAAUACAAACUGUUUUGUCUGUUGAUUCAACUGCAUAUAUCGUAUUCAUAUUGUGCUUCUCUUGAUUUAGGGACUGAUGGUAGAAAAAUGUUGAGAAUGGAGUUUGACGGUAAAUCUAGUCUCUUUUAUGUGGAAUUACCUGAAGGAACUGUACUAUCACAUAUAGUGGAGGACAACGAGAACUUUCCUGCUCAAUUUGGACGUGAGGUAAUCCAUCUGGCGUUCUUAGUCUAUUUGCUUCGACUGGUUUUCAUCUAGGAUUAAGUUAUUGCUUCUGAGUUUAGUUUGGUUUUUCAGUUAUGGAAGAUGGUAUUAAUUCUGUCCUUACAUAUGGUCGGUGACGGAUGUCACUGUAGUCUAAGCACGUAACAUGAUGCCUGUGAAACUUUGCAGGUGGUGGCAGGUUUGUUGAACGUGGCAGAUAAGGCUGAUUGGAGGAAUUGCGCACUAAGCAAAGAAGAAGAGAUUAAAUUGGCAGAGGAUUUCAAGCGCCGAUUCGCAGCAUUUGACCCCAAUACAUGAUUGUCGCACUGAGGGUCAACCACAGUACGCGUCUUCCGUCUUUCCCUUAUUAUAAUGACCUUGGAAUUCCAAGACAACCUCGGGGGGGUGUUCUGCAAGAACCGACAAAAGAAAACAUUCACGAAGUCGAUUCUUGCUGGGCCACGGCCAUCAGGUCUCGAGCAUGCAGAGGCGAGUUUUUUUUUUUUUUUUCUCAUUUCCAAAUGAAUGUGGCUAGGAUGAUUCUUGUUGCGCGAACCACCGAGAGACAGACGGACAAAAUCCGAGGACUUCAAAAGCUGCUUAGGAGCCAAUCUUGUAGAUCCUUGAGAAAGAGACUCGGAAGUGGGCUUUACCUAAAAAAUGUGCGCGUCCUUCGUGCCCUUCGUGGAAUGUGCUGCUUCUUUCUUGGUCAAACUGAAUCCGCAGUUCGAUUUUUACACAUUUCUUUACUUUGUUUUCAUUAAUUACUCAAUGGCUCUCUUUAGUUGCUCGUCCUCUAUUCGUAAGAAAAGGUGCAAAAAUUGUUUUGAUAGCUCGUUUGGAGCAUCAAUGUGCGACAGGUAAGGCGAUUGCGACGUCGCCAGUUGCUGUUCUCCUUAAGCUCACGCGACGAUAUUUUGCUUCGAAUGAAACAUAAAGCGUUUCGGGAAGUGGGACAAUAAAAUAAAAUCGGACCUCAACAUGACGGGGAUUUCAACUGCAGUUGAUUUAUUCAAGCUCUUGACCUACAUUAGUCUCGAAAGUUUUUCCACGAAAUAAAUUUUCUUAUCUCAAUUGUCGCUGACUUUGGAUACUUGUAACCAGUUCCAUCGGUUGAAAUCUUCGGGAGGGAGUGCUCUGAUUGGAUGUAAAACGAAACUCGCGAAGUGCGUCUGCCUACCGCGGGCUACUGCUCGACGAUAGACUAUCCACUUCUGAUCCCUCUUUUCAGUCGGUCAAAGUUCAACACCACUUCGGAUGCAUUUUUGCCGAACGACACUGCGGGGGUUGAACAUUCGUGUCCGAAUACACGUCGCUUUUUUAUGGAACGGGCGACCGUGAGUCAACUGUCAAACAACCCUUUUGGGUUAUGAUCAUGACAUGGCAAAGGGCAUUUUUUUUAAAAAUAAUUUUAUUAUCGUUGUUCGAGAACGCCGACCCACUAAAGAUGGUCAUCGUGGUUUCUAUUUGGUAGUUGGUACUAGUCAAAUAUCGGUCUUCUUAUCACGAGCAGAUCCGUGCACACGGGACGAGCGAAGGUGACACUUUUCGAAAUAAUUGUUCAAGGAGAGUAUGAGAGCUGAUGUUCUUGUGUCUGGUUAGUUCGGUCUAAGCUCGAUAAAACCUAGAAAAGAUGAAACCCACAAUUUUCUUAGGACCGAUGUCGACGUGGUCGUGCAUUUGGUGAUUUGCGACCAUGUAAAUCGAUCUCUUGCUUCAUCUCAUGACCGGUUUAGUCCCUAAAUUAAUCUCCAGUCACAAUUUUAGGAUGAAUUCAUAUUUUUGUCUAGCUAUCAAUGGAAAAUGCCGGCUAAGUGAUGGGGAUACACACAUGACACUGCCGGUUACGUGGAAUACAAAAUAAAAAUAAUUCAGGAGAAUUACAAACAUGGUUCCUAUACUAUUGUCCGUGUGUUUAAUUUCAGUCCCUGAACUUUAUUUUGUGAUGCAUUCAGUUUGCAACCUGAUUUUAGAUCCCGAUUUCCAGCUAUUUUCCUCCUCAAAUCAAUUUGCUAAGUUCACGCAAAUCCUAAUCAGUUACGACCAAUGAACCAUAUGUAGGGAAACUUACAUUUGCUAACUUGGAUAGGCUUUCCUUAGGUAUCUAAUGACCUUAUAUGUUUGCCUGCCAAUGGCAAAUUAUCAUGGCUAUUGCCCAUUUAUUACGAAAUUAUCGUUUUGGGAAGGACGAUUUUAGAUUUGCCGGUCCACAUAGGCUGGAUUCUUGCUCAAGUGGUAGCCAUUCUCGCACUAAUCAUAACAUGUAGCGGUCGCACAUUAGUCUUGAGCACUUAUUCGACAUUUUCUGUUCACAUUUGGAUGGGAAAAAUACGAGAUUCAUCCGAAAAUCAAGAGUAAAGAUUAGUGCAGGGAACAUAUGUGUAACAAAAAUUAUAGUAGAGGGGACCCAAAUCGAGCAGGAGCAUUGUAGGGGCCAUUUUUGUAAUUUCGACUCGACAUUUUAUUUGAUUUUCUCAUGUUGCGUUAGUGCCAGUGUCCGAAGCUGGUGCCUAAUCAGCAUUCUUCGUCGUGGAACUCGAGCAAAAGCUUGUAGAUUCAGUACCCGGCAUGGAGAGAUCCCCUUUCGGUCUAUAUAUACGUGCGCCACUCGACAACACCGGUCUCCCAUUACCUCGUAUCUGAAAAUCUCUGCUAUGGAAAGGUUUGGUUCGAUGGAUGUGGAGAAUAGCAGAGCCAACUCGGCCGUUGUCCUGGCCCACUCGAACCAAGAAUACCCGAUCUCCAUCCCCGCUGCCGCUGCCGUCACAGCCGGCCAACCCCCACAGCCGCCGCCCUCGCCGGUGUGCGAGAAGUACAUAUACCCAUGCUUCAAAUUCUCGAUCAUCACCGUCACGGUCUUCGUCUGCACUCUCUUCUUGGUCAUACCCGCUCUCGUGAUCCCUGACUUCCGGGUCGAACCGGCCUCCUCCUCUGGCUCGUUCAACGUCUCCACCUCCGCGAUCUCCGUGCACUGCGACAUUCAGAUCAGGGUUGGGAACCCGAGCAGCUACUUCCGAGUGAAUUACACGCGCGUGAGGGCCACGCUCAAGUAUGGUGGCAAGCGCUUGUCGGGCGCUUUGUUGGAUCCACUCGUGGUGGGAAAGAAGAAGCAAGCUACGGUCGCCGCCGUGUUCGAGUCAAAAGUUUCGAACGGUAGAAACAGUUGGCAAGCCGUGACUCUGAACUCCAGCGUCUCGCGCGGCGAGGUGAGCGUUGACGUCGAACUGGAGGUCGGCAGGAGAAUAGGGUUGGGCGAGUGGUGGAUUAUUGCGUUUGAUGUGACCAUCUCAUGCAGGGACAUGAUCUUCACGUCCCCGUCCUCGGAGGGCCAGGAUUGGGCGUUGAUCACUCCGUCCGAGCUUUGCGACAUUGGCUUCUUUGGCUAUAUUUAACUGAAGCAAAAUCCGCCCGUGAAAAAAACUAAAAAUCACCAGAAGAAAAGAGAAAAGAAAAAAAAUAGAGCGCAUACACACUGCGUCAGUAUAAAGAAAAUUCUGCAUAAAGGAUCCUUAUCCUUCACUGAUUAGGAAACCAGCAUAUCUAAGGAUGCAUCGAGUUCGCUUGAGCAUCUGACGGAACUUUAGCUCAUGUGCAUGACACAUACGAUGCAUCCGCCGCCGUCCUCAUCCAAAAGAGUCGUCGUUCAAUGGGGUGAAGUUUGAUCGGUCUGUUGUUCAUAUCAUUCCAAGGAUUUGGGUACUCUCAAGUACUUGACUGGUUUUAAGGCAUUCGGAUCGCGACCUAUCACCUCUUAAAAAGUUGGUAAGUGGCUGAAACGAAAUUGAAGGCGGAUACACCCCUACCUUAUGACGUAAAGCGAGUCGAGUUAUUCAUACAUAAAGGAUAUCUAGAAUUCCUUGUUUAGGAACUGCAGUUGCGUACGUAUUAGCAGUAUUGGUUUGAUUUGAUUAGAAGUGUAAAAUUUAGAUGUGUGUGAUUGCUAGGAGUUGACUCUCCUCGUGUCGAUGAUUGUAACUAGCAGAUAUGAAUGGAUUGUUCAUGGUAUGAUGGUUUAUUUCCAAUUAUUCAGAUCUAUUUAAAUCUCCAUGGGGGUCUUAUACCUUGCAACCUGGUGCUGUCCAGGAUCUUCAGACAAAUGAGAGGACCCGCUAUUAACACCGCCUUAUAGUACUUUAUACAUGCGACUGCCGAUCUUCUUUUUUAAGUUAUAUCAGUAUGGUUGAUUUCAUUAGUUGCACUGAAUCUAGCCCAAACUUUUGAACUAGGGUUUUUAAUGCAAUGUGAAAGCUGGGGUAAUAUAUACUCUAUACUCCAAUUAAUCCAUCAAUCGGUGACCGACUUCCCUCGUUCUGGUUCACAUGAAAGAGAUCAUACAUAGUUUGUGUAAUGCGGUGGUAUUUAUAGCAUAGUUUUCCUGUUAUUAUGGAGGGAAUUAACAAGCAUUUACAUUCAAAUUAUGUCUCUAGGCAAAAGGUUGUGUCCCUAUAAGAAUACAAACAUGAAGUAUGUUCUCAAAAGGGAAACGGCCAUAUAUAUUGAAGAGACCCGUGUUAGUUUCUUCUAUGCCCUUUCCAUAUAGUUUACUCUCUUGUUGAUUGAUGAUCAAAGAAGUUAGAUCUAGUUGGUACUUUUCUAAGUACACUUACCUAUUUGCCUCUAAAGGAGGUGAGAUUAGAGUCUGGGAUUAUACGCUGAAAACAAGACUUGCAAAUAGGCCACUGAUUGUUUAAAUAAUAUAUUCAUCCAAAGAGAUUCAAGUAACUGUACUCAAAAUGGCAUUUUUAGCGAUUCCCCUUUCGGAGGAUCCAUUUUCCCGUUCCAACGGCUGAGGAGCCUCUAGCCACGCCACGCUUUCUGGAUCUUUAUAGAAGAAGCCAAGCCCUCUCUAUUGUUUGUUAUAAGUUGGUAAGCUUUAGAAUCGUGAAAAACCAGUCUCUUUCAUUUAUCUUAAGCUUUAGGUUGAACUUUCUUAAUGAGGUUUGAAGCUAGACCUGAUUUUAAAUCCUUCAAAUCUUUCAUAAUAAGAUGGUGUGCAUAAUUCCUGUUGUAUUUGUGUCAAUAUCAUCUCCUUUCCUUUGCAUCUUUCCUUAAUAAAAGCCCGUGAAGGAUUUAGCAUGUAAAAGUACUUGAAAAUUUCGCAUCUAUUUUUCAAAAGAAUCUCGCCGAUUUCCAGCGAAACAUUAAUAUGAAACAACAAUGACAUCUCAAAAACCAGAGUGAAUCAAAAGCUGGAAGCCACUCUUAACAUCCAUCCACGAACUUGGUGGAGAACCCUAGCAAAAACUAAAAAGGGCUAAAGUUUUCUGCUCUCUCUACAUCAUCUCUUACGAACUGUGAAUACCUUUUUGUAUCUUUACCUUUCAGUGAAUAUUUUGAGCAUCAUUAUCCUUUCCGCUUAGCUCAACAUGUGGGCACAAUCGCUCCUAGCUAAGCUAGGUAGUAUUUAAACCCAUAUUUAACUGAGAUUAAUUGAAUGAUAACUGGGUUUCUGGACUACUAAAGAAGGCAGCACUUGUCCUUUCACAAAGAUUGCGAUGGUGGGUUACCUUUCUUUCGUGGCCAUGAGAUUCUUGGAGGAUGCGAUGCUUUGUGUUCGGGCCACUCAUAUGAAUGCUCUUUCGUCGUGCUUUGCUGGCUUAAGACCGCGGGAUGACGUAAGGGGGAUUUCACGUAGCCAAAUGUGCCACAAGGAAAAUGACGUCAUACAUGAAUGAGUGUGUGUAUAUAUCGGUAAAUAGGUUAUUUCACCAAUAUAUAAAAGCACAUGGGGCUAAUCCUAUCGAAUUGUAAUAGCAUAUGGGAUCACUUAACGGAAACUCCAUCCAAAAAUUUCUAAACCUAUUGCACAAGGGCUAAUUCAAUUAUUAACUUUCUAAUUGUGCCAAAUUAAUUCUAAAUCUUUUGAUAAUUUAUUAAUUUAAUCCUGACAAAGUUUCUUUCUAAAAUGAACAAGAUUAGGUACUGAAAGGUACCUAAUUGGUGAAUUAGUGUAAUCAACCCCUGACCCUAGAUUUUCUGGUUGCGUAGGAAGUGAGAUACACACUUAUGCCUCACUUUGUUUCUAACCGACCCCAAUAGGUUAGUAGCGAUUUCUUAUUACAAAAUUCUUAAAAACACCUUAAUGUCUCGCGAGGUAUGGGCUUAGAAGAGCUCAUGUCUAAUCAUAGGUCUUAGGUCCGUCUUUUAAACAAUACCCUUAAACUUAUUUCCUUCCAAGAGGUAGGUUGUGACACACAUCAAUAUUAGUUGUCCGUAAAAACAUUAUUAACAUCACAUUAAAUGUCAUGUUCUCACGGUAGAAGUCAAUCAUAACUCUAGGGUCAAGCUUGACUCUCAAAUUUAAGUUCGGGCUUCCCACGACUAGUGGAGCUCAACACCAAGCGAAGCUCAGCCCAAAUGGAGUCAGGUGGUGGGGAUUAUCCCGAUUCGGGGCCAUGAGCUCGACAACCAUGUUUCCCACAUCUCUCUCGUCUAGCUCAAAUUCUUUCUUUCGUUUUCUUUUCUUUUAAAUUUUUUUUUAUGUAGCAUUCAUGUGGCGCCACAUUGUCAACAACUAAUUUUUUUUUUCUUUCAAACAGAUAUUAAUGAAAAUAUAAAAAAAAAACAAAAGAAAAGAAAAAGAAAAGAAAAGAAUAAAAAAAAUUUCAAAAAAUUGUUAAAAAAGAAAAAGGCGCGAGAGAGGCCGAGUCGAGGCCCAACCCGCCUGUCCUUCCUUCCCCGCGUGGGCCUGGGCCUGGGCCUGACCCCUCCAUUUCUUUCAUUUCUUCUUUCUUUUUCAAGCGAGCUCCAAGCCCGACCCUUUCUCUCCUUCCUCUCUUCCUCCCACCUUCACGCCUGUUUUGUUUUGGCAGAAAAGAAAGGGUACAAGCGCUAGAGGGGCAGAGCAUCGCGAGCGAGGUGAGCGUGAUUUGCUGGGUCGGGGCUUGGCCGACCUGCAAGCUGGCGAUGGCAGAAGCCAUGUGAGCUGGCCGGUGGCCUCCAAAAGAGGGGAAGAGGAGCGAGAGAAGGGGGGUUUCUCGGUUGUUUUUUUUUUUGGGUCGAGAGAGAGCAGGAGAGAAGGAGAGGACGAGCCGAAGGGAGAGGGGGAGCUCGAAGGAAAGCGUCGCCGUCGCCAGUCAUCCGCCCUCCGCCGCCCUCCGCCGCCCUCCGCCGCGGCCCUUUCCCAUUAAGCCAGGUAGGAGCACCCCGUCCCGUUGGAAGUUGCUUGAACUGGUAGAUUUUUUUGACCAAAAUCUUCACAAGCCGCAACAAGUUUAGGACGAUUCAUGAUGUUUUGAGAUGUUUUGAUUCUAAUGCAUCAUGCUUAGAUUGAGGAACGCUUCCAGUUUGAACCCAGAACUCGAGUUCAUGAAUGCAUACCAACUGCUCGACGUUUUGCUUGACUGAAGGGUGAAACAUUUAAGAAUACCGUUGGUCACCAAAAAAAAAAAAAAAACAUUUAGGAAUACCGCCUUACCAAAAAAACAUUUAGGAACACUGAACUUGAAUACGGGAUUUUUAAGUGAAUCAUGGCAAAAUGAGAUAGAUCCGGCAUGAAACACAUCUAUUUAAGCUUGUAGGCAGCAUAUCUGGCUCGAAGAUUGCAAUAAAUCUCGCUCUGGAACACGUUUGUUAAAUCACAUAUUAACCGUUCGAUAGAAUGCCUGAGAGAAGGCCAAAAUAUCUAUGCAUGUUAGAGCUCAAGAUCAAUUCAUGCUUUGUCCUGUAUUGGUUGGAUUUGGUUUAAUAUUAGUAUUUUCUCUAUGUUUACACGCAACUUGAUGGAAAAAUCCUGCUUGAGUCGUAUGCAUUCUUCGCGUCGGAGAGCUCCCUUUCGGAAACCCAUCCGUCACCACACCAGCAGUUCGAGGCCGCAUUAGUUAGGAUGCUCUUAUUUUUCACAUGCCUGAUUAAAAGUCCAUUUCUAGAACAUGAAACAGGAUGUCUUCCCUCGGUCCCCAAUCCAUUUGUACGUCUCCUUCAGUUCAUACGUCCAUCUUUUGCCGCUCGCUCUCUCUUCCCUGCUGUAGACAAAACACAUCUCACCACCCCUGUUUUGUGAGAUCGAGAGAAAACAAGCUUCAAGGCACAACCGAAACAUGAAAACUCCUGGUUCUGUUGAAUGCAAGUCGAGGGCCAGGAGGAUUUAUUCAUAGAAAAGCUCCCAACAAUGGUGAUAGCGGUGUCGGGCUUCCUUGAUGAGGAAGGAGAAUACCUCAGGCUCAGCCCUUUGCGAAAACGAUCGUUUUCGAGAAACAGGUAUCACUCAAAAUCUCACCUUUCUACAAUAUCGGGCGCUGCGAAUGUGUAGGAGCAGCGAAAGUUGAAGGGAGCGGUGGUUGCUCGUGAAUGAGGGUGCUCCAUUCGCUUGUUGAGAACCAAGGGUCUGCUCUAAGCAAGGCUUUGAUAGCCCAUUGUCAAGCUACUGUAGGAGGAACUUUGAGGGAUCUCUAUAUUGCCAAUAAUAUAUUAAGUGGGUACACAAAAUGCGGAGAGAUCUGGCUUGCCCACCAAGUGUUCGACCGAAUGCGCAACAGAGAUGCAGUGUCUUGGAACACCAUGAUUUCCGGUUAUGUUAAUAGUGGUAAGCUGGAGGGAGCAUGGAAUUUUCUGGAGUCCAUGAGACAAUGUGGACUAGAAGUGGAUGCUUAUACUUUUUCGAGUAUGCUAAAAGGAGUAGCUAGUGCUGGUACGCUUGAUCUUGGACAGCAGUUGCAUUGCUUGAUUUUCAAGCACGGAUACAGUAGGAAUGUUUACACGGGAAGCGCUCUUUUGGACAUGUAUGCUAAGUGCGAGAGGGUUGAGGAUGCAUACGUCGUGCUCCAACACAUGCCGCAACGUAACUCUGUCUCAUGGAAUGCGCUUAUCAGUGGAUUUGCGCAGAGCAGUGACAGAGAGACUGCAUUUUGGCUUUUUGAUAGCAUGGAGCAUGAUGGCGUUAAGCCAGAUGAUGGGACCUUCGCUCCUCUCUUGACAUUGCUCAACGACCAUGAGUUUUUCAAGCUAACUGCACAGGUCCAUGCCAAAAUUAUAAAGCAUGGUCUAGAAUGGAAAAAUAAUGUUUGUAAUGCUGCAGUUUGUUCAUACUCGGAGUGUGGCUCCAUUGAAGAUGCUAAGAAACUGUUUGAUAGCAUUGUCUUUAGAGAUAUAGUGACAUGGAAUUCAAUGCUAGCUGCCUACCUAGUGCAUGGUGAAGAAGAUUCUGCCUUUAGGCUUUUUAUUGAUAUGCAGUGGCUGGGCAUUGAACCGGAUUUUUACACUUACACAAGUGUCAUAAGUGCUUGUUUUGAAGAAGCAUGUAAAAAUCUGGGAAAGUCCCUCCAUGCUUUGGUAAUUAAAAGAGGUCUGGAGCGAUCAUUACCAAUCUCCAAUGCAUUUAUAGCUAUGUAUAUCAAAAUGGGUAAUGGAUCCAUGGACGGUGCUAUUCGUGUCUUCAAAUCAAUGCAAUCCAAGGACCGGGUCUCUUGGAAUUCCAUGUUGACCGGAUACUCCCAAGUUGGGUUAAAUGAAGAUGCAUUGGAACUUUUUGCCCAGAUGAGAUCUUUGAAUACUGAGAUUGAUCAUUAUGCUCUUUCAGCAGUUCUCAAGUCUUGCUCUGAUUUAGCAACUCUCUUUGUGGGCCAACAAGUUCAUGCAUUGGCACUUAAGUUUGGCUUCGAGUCAAAUGAAUGUGUUGGCAGUGCACUGAUCUUUAUGUACUCUAAGUGUGGCAUUAUUAAAGAUGCUAGAAAUUCUUUCAAAGAGACUUUCCAAAGUAGCUCAGUCACUUGGAAUGCGAUUAUCUUUGCCUAUGCACAACAUGGUCUAGGACAUGAUGCACUUGAUCUUUUCCAUUUGAUGAGAGCAAGGAGAAUAACGCUUGAUCACAUCACCUUUGUUGCUGUCCUGACUGCUUGUAGCCACAUUGGUUUGGUUGAAGAGGGCUAUGGGUUUCUAUUAUCAAUGGAAAUGGAUUAUGGCAUCCCUCCAAGGAUGGAGAACUAUGCUUGUGCAAUUGAUCUUUUUGGGCGUGCUGGGCUUGUGAAUGAGGCUAAGGCCUUGGUGGAAUUGAUGCCAUUUCAACCUGAUAUGAUGGUGUGGAGGACUUUAUUGGGUGCUUGUAGGAGUAGCGGGAACAUGGAAUUGGCUUGUCAAGUCGGAAAUCAACUACUUGAGUUAGAGCCUGAAGAACAUAGCACUUAUGUUCUGCUCUCGGACAUGUAUGGGCGCCUUAAAAAAUGGGGUGAUCAUGCCAGGGUGAAAAGACUUAUGAGGGAAAGAGGGGUGAGGAAGGUCCCUGGCUGGAGUUGGAUUGAGGUUCAAAACCAGGUUCAUUCUUUUAAUGCUGAAGACCGUUCCCACCCACUUUGCGAAGAUAUAUACCCUGUACUGGAAGGCUUGAUGGAUGAAGUAAGAAAGUUGGGCGGGGAUGGCAAUUCAGAGGAUUCAUUGCAACAAAUGGAGAUAUGGUUCAGGGCUCUUUGACAUUGACAUCUAUUCAUAUUCUCUUAGUCGAUGGCAACGAAUUUCAUUCGUUCAGGUACAGGUGCCUGGAUAAUUUUCUGGGCAAACAUUUGGGGCGGCAAAUAAGGAAGAAUUGGAAAUAUGGUUUGGGACUUUUUGACAGGGACAUUUAUUCGUAUUCUUGUAGUCGAUGGGAACAGAUUUCAUUCAUUCAGCUACAGGUGCCGGAUAGUUUUUUACGCAUACAUUUGGUGCAGCAAAUAAGGAAGAAUGGUAAGCAUUCUCCAUUGUAAUCAUACAGAAACACAAAUUUCAGGCAGCCUUCUUCUCAUUGUUUUAUGCUAGAUGACAAGGAGGAGAAAUUGGUUUGUCAUGAAUGUGAAGCAUUCCCUUAUUCAAUUGAAGUUACCGUCUUCUCCAAAUAGGAACUCUUGUCUUUGUUGCUUUUCAAGGGGAAAAAGCUGUGAAGCAGGGAGAGGGGAGUCAGCAGUGGUGGGGGGUGAGGAGGGUGCCUCUCUUGAGCUCGUCCCGCCGCAGUGCAGGUGAAAAAAUCAGCUGGCCCCUUUGACGCACUACUCUGCGUGGGCCAGUUCUUCCCUGACGCGACGGAGCUGCUGGAGGAGUUCGCGGACUAUGCGGAGGGCCGGUCGCCGAUCCUGCUCCCGACCUACUUCAUCGGAGACUACGGCAUUGGGGCGCCCAAGGUGCUGUCGGCCGCUUUGAGGAGCCACGCCGACUUAGGGUUUAAGAUGGACGGCCUGAAGAUAUGCGAGAGUCUGUAUUGGCUGAAGGGGAGUGGCAAGUUCACACUUCACAGUAACAUGUAACUCUAGUUUUCGCCUGGCAGGUCAACAUAUUUUGGUGUUGCUUCUUAAGUUUUUGUCAGUUAAAUUAUGUUUAUCAAAUACUUUAGGUAGGAAGGAUGUAGACUGAGUUAGACAUGAACAUUUUAUUUGAUUGUCCUCAAUGUUUAUCAUGCAGUGAGAUACUAAGGCAUGCUUUUGUGCAUACAAGUAAUGGAAUGGCAGCUGUUUUCUCUUUCUGUAUAUACUUUAUGUUGUAGAUAAGAUCUUUUCAUAUGCUAAUGACAUGCUUCUCUGUGACUAGCUUACUCUAUAUUGAAGAAGCUUAAUCUAUAUUGAAGUUAUCUGUUAUCUAAACUGCUUAGUAUAAAUAUCUCUCUGUUCUUGUCUUCUACUAGUGUUUCCAAUUUUCAUUCUGCCCAUGUGCAUCAUAAUCUUGUUUUUCUCACAGAAAUUUAUCCAUGCACUUUCUCCUACUCCGGCAUCUACCAUGUCUUCUUCUGAGAUUAGCAUGAAACCUCCCAACACAACCUUGUCUCCGUUUACAGCAGUAGAGAAAACUGCUGGUGCAAAGGAAGCAGGAAAGAGGACUGCCGAUUAUACUAAUGACGCACAAUAUUGGAGAUAUGAUGUUUCCCAAAAACAUCAGAAGCAUGCAGUUGGUGAUGGUGAUAAGCUAUGCUUUAAGUAUUUGUCUUCUGGGUCUUGUCCACGAGGUGAAAAAUGCAACUUCCGACAUGAUUUAGAUGCAAGGGAGCAAUACCGAAGAGGGGUUUGUUUUGAUUUCCUUAACAAAGGGCAAUGUGAAAGGGGUCCUGACUGCAACUUUAAGCACAGUAUGCAGGACGAAGAGGAAAGUGGUUCUUGAAAUGGAAAUAGGUCUAGAGGUGCUAGUGUUAAUAGGUCAGUUUCCUCAAUGGGCACCUUUUGUUUUUUUUGCUAAUAAUUUACAUUGGUUCUAGUGGAAUGAAAUUUUCGACCACUGCUUAUGAAUCCAUUUUAGCACAGUUUGUAAUUGAAAUUCACGUCAAAAGAAUGCUGGUUUUGUUUAUUGAGCCCCAAUGUGGAGUCUCAUCUGAUCAUCAGUGUAGGAGAAAGAUACUACUGUGCACUGCCCAAGGGACCGUUAGUUGAAGAUCACGUGCUGAUAAUACCUAUCGAGCAUCUACCAAAUACUCUUUCUUUGCCUCCAGAAAAUGAAACAGAGCUUAACAGAUUCCAGAACUGCCUGAAGUUGUAUCACAAGAACCAACGGAAGGAAGUUGUUUUCUUGGAGUGGGUUUCCAAACGUGGGACUCCUGCU